rnacentral:rRNA from 1 species
UACGAAGGGGGCUAGCGUUGCUCGGAAUCACUGGGCGUAAAGCGCACGUAGGCGGAUCUUUAAGUCAGGGGUGAAAUCCUGGAGCUCAACUCCAGAACUGCCUUUGAUACUGGGGAUCUCGAGUCCGGGAGAGGUGAGUGGAACUGCGAGUGUAGAGGUGAAAUUCGUAGAUAUUCGCAAGAACACCAGUGGCGAAGGCGGCUCACUGGCCCGGUACUGACGCUGAGGUGCGAAAGCGUGGGGAGCAAACA